GUCUACGGCCAUACCACCCUGAACAAGCCCCAUCUCAUCUGAUCUCGCAAGCUAAGCAGGGUCGGGCCUGGUUAGUAGUUGGACAGGGCAUAUAUUUCAUUAUGGCAGUUGUUUGCU
ensembl:rRNA 5S_rRNA 5S ribosomal RNA